GUGGACACUGGCGCACGGGUGAGUAACGCGUGGGAAUCUACCCCGGGGUGGGGGACAACCGCUGGAAACGGCGGCUAAUACCGCAUACGCCUUGAGAGGGAAAGCUUUAGCGCCCUGGGAUGAGCCCGCGUUAGAUUAGGUUGUUGGUGGGGUAACGGCCCACCAAGCCUACGAUCUAUAGCUGGUCUGAGAGGAUGAUCAGCCACACUGGGACUGAGACACGGCCCAGACUCCUACGGGAGGCAGCAGUGGGGAAUAUUGGACAAUGGGGGCAACCCUGAUCCAGCCAUGCCGCGUGUGUGAAGAAGGCUUUCGGGUUGUAAAGCACUUUCAGUGAGGAGGAAAACCUUACGACUAAUACUCGUGAGGCUUGACGUUACUCACAGAAGAAGCACCGGCUAACUCCGUGCCAGCAGCCGCGGUAAUACGUAGGGUGCGAGCGUUGUCCGGAAUUAUUGGGCGUAAAGAGCUCGUAGGCGGUCUGUCACGUCGGCUGUGAAAACC
rnacentral:rRNA from 1 species